ACCAAGUUCAAAUGUAACCAACAUCUAUGACAGUACACUUGGAAAGUUCAAAAGAUCCAUGUCCUCUCAACUUUGAAAGGGGGCAAAAAAAACUCCCGGCAAGCCUAACACCAGCCAUGUUAUCCUUUGUUUCAUCACUGUAUCCUUCAAAUUUAACCACAUACCGCCUUUUCUCUCCUCCAAACCGCCCAAUUCUCCGUUUACCCGCGGUUUCUUGCUGCAAUCAAACCCCCAAACCCUCCAAUAUUUGCUCCACUCUCAAAAACCAGAAAUGGGUUUCCGGUUUGUUGAGCGCUGGUGUUGCUCUGGCUUUGGUGGGUCCCGCCAUUGCCGCCGAUUCGACGACAUUGUUGUCAUCAAUUGAGUUCCACGAGCCUCCCAAUGCUCUCUCCCUCCCCACCUGGGCCAUCCACGUGUCCAGUGUUGUUGAAUGGGUGAUUGCAAUGGCUUUGGUGUGGCAAUAUGGGGAUAAACCUGGGAAUGAAUCUUGGAAAGGUCUUUCUUGGGGAAUGAUACCCUUACUCGGCGGAGCAAUGUGUGCAUGUACAUGGCAUUUCUUUUACAAUGCUGAGUCACUUGAGUUACUGGUGGCACUUCAAGCUGCAUUGACUGUUUCUGGUAAUGCCACUAUUUGUAUUGCUGCCUACCGCAUAUACAAGUCACAGAGUCGCUCGGAAAAUUCAUGAAGAUACUUCAACAGAAACAACAUUUAAAUAUACCCAGAAAGGAUUGGAUUUGAGUUUUGCACAUUCGGUUCACCGGAGCUUAGUCAUCCGGAUCCGACCCGGGUUGCACACAUUGUUUAUGGUGGGUGAGUCUCCCAAUAAGAGUUUCUGCAUACGGCGAGACUCGAACCCGAGACCUCCCUUAAGCGGCAUCAAGUUGUUUACCACUUGAGUCAACUCUAUGUUGGUACUUGACAUUCUUUUUACUAAUAUGUGAAAAAUAUGUUAGUGUGGAAGAUGUUGAGUUUGUUUAAGUACUUCAAAAUAUAAACUAUCUGUUAUCUUUUUACUAAUAGAUAAUUAAAGAUAAUUAUUGUUUUAAGCUAUAAUAAUUAAUAAAUAAAAGUAUUUUGUCAUAA